AUGCCAUCCAGUCAUGAUCCAGUGAUCAGAAUGUUCCAUUGUCUUUUCAUUGUUUUGAAAAUCCCACUGUUCUCUAUGCCAUCCAGUCAUGAUCCAGUGAUCAGAAUGUUCCAUUGUCUUUUCAUUGUUUUGAAAAUCUCACUGUUCUCCAUGCCAUCCAGUCAUGAUCCAGUGAUCAGAAUGUUCCAUUGUCUUUUCAUUGUUUUGAAAAUCUCACUGUUCUCCAUGUCAUCCAGUCAUGACCCAGUGAUCAGAAUGUUCCAUUGUCUUUUCAUUGUUUUGAAAAUCUCACUGUCCUUCAUGUCAUCCAGUCAUGAUCCAGUGAUCAGAAUGUUCCAUUGUCUUUUCAUUGUUUUGAAAAUCCCACUGUUUUCCAUGUCAUCCAGUCAUGAUCCAGUGAUCAGAAUGUUCCAUUGUCUUUUCAUUGUUUUGAAAAUCCCACUGUUCUCCAUGUCAUCCAGUCAUGAUCCAGUGAUCAGAAUGUUCCAUUGUCUUUUCAUUGUUUUGAAAAUCCCACUGUUCUCCAUACCAUCCAGUCAUGAUCCAGUGAUCAGAAUGUUCCAUUGUCUUUUCAUUGUUUUGAAAAUCCCACUGUUCUCCAUACCAUCCAGUCAUGAUCCAGUGAUCAGAAUGUUCCAUUGUCUUUUCAUUGUUUUGAAAAUCUUACUGUUCUCCAUGCCAUCCAGUCAUGAUCCAGUGAUCAGAAUGUUCCAUUGUCUUUUCAUUGUUUUGAAAAUCUCACUGUUCUCCAUGCCAUCCAGUCAUGAUCCAGUGAUCAGAAUGUU